GGGCUGCAGAACAGAGAUUUGUUCUUCACUCUUGCUUAAAGCAGAAUGAAAGCUCAUAAACUCCUCUCUCUGGGAAGCAUCUUCUUGUUCCUGCUUUUUUUCCAUCAGACCUGGGCUCAAUUCCCAAGAGAGUGUGCCACUGUUGAGGCCUUGAGAAAUGGUGUGUGUUGCCCAGACCUGUCCCCAGUGUCUGGGCCUGGGACUGACCCCUGUGGCUUCUCAUCAGGGCGGGGGAGGUGUGAGGCAGUGAUAGCAGACUCCAGACCCCACAGCCACCAUUACCCCCAUGAUGGCAGAGAUGAUCGGGAGGUUUGGCCCACACGGUUCUUCAACAGGACCUGCCACUGCAAUGGCAAUUUCUCAGGACACAACUGUGGGACUUGCCGUCCAGGAUGGAGAGGAGCUGCCUGUGAUCAGAAGGUUCUCACAGUCAGGAGAAACCUCCUGGCCUUGAAUACAGAAGAGAAGAACCACUUUGUCCAGGCCUUGGAUAUGGCAAAGCGCACAAUUCACCCUCAGUUUGUCAUUGCAACCAGGAGAUCAGAAGAAAUAUUUGGGCCAGAUGGCAACACACCACAGUUUGAGAACAUUUCCAUUUAUAACUACUUUGUUUGGACACACUAUUACUCAGUCAAAAAGACUUUCCUUGGGCCAGGACAGGAAAGCUUUGGUGAGGUGGAUUUCUCUCAUGAAGGACCAGCUUUUCUCACAUGGCACAGAUACCACCUACUGCAGUUGGAGAGAGACAUGCAGGAAAUGUUGCAGGAUCCUUCAUUCUCCCUCCCCUACUGGAAUUUUGCAACUGGGAAGAAUGUCUGUGACAUUUGCACUGAUGACCUGAUGGGAUCAAGAAGCAACUUUGAUUCCACUCUUAUAAGCCUGAACUCUGUCUUUUCUCAAUGGCGAGUGGUCUGCGAAUCCUUGGAGGAUUAUGAUACCCUGGGAACCCUUUGCAAUAGUACUGAGGGUGGGCCAAUUAGGAGAAAUCCAGCUGGAAAUGUGGCUAGACCAAUGGUGCAACGUCUUCCUGAACCACAGGAUGUCGCUCAGUGCUUGGAAGUUGGUUUAUUUGACACACCUCCUUUUUACUCCAAUUCUACUAACAGUUUCCGAAACACAGUGGAAGGUUACAGUGAUCCCACAGGAAAGUAUGACCCUGCUAUUCGAAGCCUUCACAAUUUGGCUCAUCUAUUUCUGAAUGGAACAGGGGGACAAACCCAUUUAUCCCCAAAUGAUCCUAUUUUUGUUCUCCUACAUACUUUCACUGAUGCAGUUUUUGAUGAAUGGCUGAGGAGAUAUAAGGCUGAUGUAUCCACAUUUCCAUUGGAAAAUGCCCCUAUUGGGCAUAAUAGACAAUACAAUAUGGUACCAUUCUGGCCUCCAGUUACCAAUGUAGAAAUGUUUGUUACUGCUCCAGACAAUCUGGGAUAUACUUACGAAGUUCAAUGGCCAAGUCGGAAUCUUAGUAUUCCUGAGAUUGUUACCAUAGCGGUAGUUGCUGCUUUAGUACUGGUUGCAGUCAUUUUUGCGGGUGCUUCUUGCCUGAUUCGUGCCAGAAGCAACAUGGAUGAAGCGAAUCAACCUCUUCUCACUGAUCAGUAUCAACACUAUGCUGACGACUAUGAAAAAAUGCAGAAUCCUAAUCAAUCUAUGGUCUAAUAACAAAUGACCAAUUCUCUUAUGCAUUAGUAUCAUAAAACCACCUGGUUGAAAAAUAAUAGAUUAAAUUUCUUACUGUAUUUUCUUUCCUUCCAUUACUUUCUUCCUGAUGCAUGCACAUAUUAGAAUUAAAACUCUAAAUAUUAUUUUCUAUAGCUAGGGAGAGUCACAAUUGUUAAUUGGUUCUAUUUUUCAACUCUAUUUAAAAUGGUAGGUUGUACAUUAAUUAGAAUUUAAAUAAAAACUUGAAACAUUAAAAAAUAAAAUAAAAUGGUAGGUUGUAGGCACACAUCCUAACCCUGAUCUGUAACUCUGACCCUAAAUCCUAACCCUCUGGAGAGGUCCCUGAACUGCAAAAUACCGGGCACAUGCCCUAACUCCAACCCUGAAUCUAAGAAAGUAGCUUCCUGAACACAUGGUAAGAAAAGCUGAGAAGCAGCUUAGUUAUCUUAGAGAAGACCCCAAAUAUUUAAAAAUUGGCAGUUUUUCUGAAAAUGGUCAUGAAGGUAGAGAUUUUUUUAAAAAAUGGUAGUUUGCACUAACUCCAUGGUAUUUAAGCAGAGAGUGUGAAGAUUUUUGGCAUGUUUUAAAGGUCAACUAUAUGACAAUGUAAAUAAACUGUUGUGCUUUGUUUAUGUAUAAAUAAAAAAUCAUGAUAGU
rnacentral:lncRNA from 12 species